CGGGACCCGCACAAGCGGUGGAUGAUGUGGUUUAAUUUCGAUGCAACGCGAAAACCUUACCCACCUUUGACAUGUACGGAAUCCUUUAGAGAUAGAGGAGUGCUCGAAAGAGAGCCGUAACACAGGUGCUGCAUGGCUGUCGUCAGCUCGUGUCGUGAGAUGUUGGGUUAAGUCCCGCAACGAGCGCAACCCUUGCCAUUAGUUGCUACGAAAGGGCACUCUAAUGGGACUGCCGGUGACAAACCGGAGGAAGGUGGGGAGUGACGUCAAGUCCUCAUGGCCCUUAUAGGUGGGGCGUACACACGUCAUACAAUGGCCGGUACAGAGGGUAGCCAACCCGCGAGGGGGAGGCCAAUCCCACAAAGCCGGUCGUAGUCCGGAUCGCAGUCUGCAACUCGACUGCGUGAAGUCGGAAUCGCUAGUAAUCGUGGAUCAGAAUGUCACGGUGAAUACGUUCCCGGGUCUU
rnacentral:rRNA from 1 species